rnacentral:rRNA from 1 species
UUCCUCCGGGGGGCAGCAGUGAGGAAUAUUGGUCAAUGGGCUUACGCCUGAACCAGCCAAGUCGCGUGAGGGAAGACUGCCCUAUGGGUUGUAAACCUCUUUUGUCAGGGAGCAACGCCGGCUACGUGUAGCCGGACUGAGAGUACCUGAAGAAAAAGCAUCGGCUAACUCCGUGCCAGAAGCCGCGGUAAUACGGAGGAUGCGAGCGUUAUCCGGAUUUAUUGGGUUUAAAGGGUGCGUAGGUGGUUAAUUAAGUCAGCGGUGAAAGUUUG